rnacentral:misc_RNA from 1 species
CGUUCGCGUGAGGGAUAAAAGUGGAGCUCUUUUUAUAAUUGGCCUCGUUUUUUUAGAACGAAACCAGCUAUAAAAAAGCGGAAACGGAUAGCCCGACCCCGC